rnacentral:rRNA from 1 species
UGGGAAUCUUCGGCAAUGGACGGAAGUCUGACCGAGCAACGCCGCGUGAGUGAAGAAGGUUUUCGGAUCGUAAAGCUCUGUUGUAAGAGAAGAACGAGUGUGAGAGUGGAAAGUUCACACUGUGACGGUAUCUUACCAGAAAGGGACGGCUAACUACGUGCCAGCAGCCGCGGUAAUACGUAGGUCCCGAGCGUUGUCCGGAUUUAUUGGGCGUAAAGCGAGCGCAGGCGGUUAGAUAAGUCUGAAGUUAAAGGCUGUGGCUUAACCAUAGUACGCUUUGGAAACUGUUUAACUUGAGUGCAAGAGGGGAGAGUGGAAUUCCAUGUGUAGCGGUGAAAUGCGUAGAUAUAUGGAGGAACACCGGUGGCGAAAGCGGCUCUCUGGCUUGUAACUGACGCUGAGGCUCGAAAGCGUGGGGAGCAAACAGGAUUAGAUACCCUGGUAGUUCACGCCGUAAACGAUGAGUGCUAGGUGUUAGACCCUUUCCGGGGUUUAGUGCCGUAGCUAACGCAUUAAGCACUCCGCCUGGGGAGUACGACCGCAAGGUUG